rnacentral:pre_miRNA from 1 species
UGAAGUGCUGUGGAUUUCUUUGUGAAUCACCAUAUCGAAUCUAAUGUGGUGGCUCACAAAGUAAUUCAUAGUGCUUC